rnacentral:SRP_RNA from 1 species
GCUGGGCAUGGUGGCACGUGCCUGUAGUCCCAGUUACUUGGGAGGCUGAGGCAAGAGGAUCGCUUGAGCCUAGGAGUUCUCUAGCAGGAUCAGGUGUCUGCACCAAGUUUGGCAUCAAUAUGGUGACCUCCCAGGAGCAGGGAACCACCAGGUUGCCCAAGGAGGGGUGAGCUGGCCCAGGUUAGAAACAGAGCACAUCAAAACUCCUGUGCUGAUCAGAAAGUUAAAGUAUCUUUUCUUAACCUCAGUUUCCUCGUGUGGAAAAUGAAACCUACCUCUG